rnacentral:ncRNA from 2 species
CGCAUGUCUGCGGGAGAGAGCGCCCCUUUUUCAGGGUCGCCGCCGAAGGCGCAAUUCGCCCAGAAUCGCUCAGGUAACCGAUACCGCACAUGCUUG